rnacentral:hammerhead_ribozyme from 1 species
AUCUAGCUGACGAGUCCCAAAUAGAAUGAAACGUACAUCAAACUGGAU